rnacentral:rRNA from 1 species
UGGCGGCAGGCCUAACACAUGCAAGUCGAGCGGUAGCACAGAGAGCUUGCUCUCGGGUGACGAGCGGCGGACGGGUGAGUAAUGUCUGGGAAACUGCCUGAUGGAGGGGGAUAACUACUGGAAACGGUAGCUAAUACCGCAUAACGUCGCAAGACCAAAGUGGGGGACCUUCGGGCCUCAUGCCAUCAGAUGUGCCCAGAUGGGAUUAGCUAGUAGGUGGGGUAAUGGCUCACCUAGGCGACGAUCCCUAGCUGGUCUGAGAGGAUGACCAGCCACACUGGAACUGAGACACGGUCCAGACUCCUACGGGAGGCAGCAGUGGGGAAUAUUGCACAAUGGGCGCAAGCCUGAUGCAGCCAUGCCGCGUGUAUGAAGAAGGCCUUCGGGUUGUAAAGUACUUUCAGCGAGGAGGAAGGCGUUAAGGUUAAUAACCUUGGCGAUUGACGUUACUCGCAGAAGAAGCACCGGCUAACUCCGUGCCAGCAGCCGCGGUAAUACGGAGGGUGCAAGCGUUAAUCGGAAUUACUGGGCGUAAAGCGCACGCAGGCGGUCUGUCAAGUCGGAUGUGAAAUCCCCGGGCUCAACCUGGGAACUGCAUUCGAAACUGGCAGGCUAGAGUCUUGUAGAGGGGGGUAGAAUUCCAGGUGUAGCGGUGAAAUGCGUAGAGAUCUGGAGGAAUACCGGUGGCGAAGGCGGCCCCCUGGACAAAGACUGACGCUCAGGUGCGAAAGCGUGGGGAGCAAACAGGAUUAGAUACCCUGGUAGUCCACGCCGUAAACGAUGUCGACUUGGAGGUUGUGCCCUUGAGGCGUGGCUUCCGGAGCUAACGCGUUAAGUCGACCGCCUGGGGAGUACGGCCGCAAGGUUAAAACUCAAAUGAAUUGACGGGGGCCCGCACAAGCGGUGGAGCAUGUGGUUUAAUUCGAUGCAACGCGAAGAACCUUACCUACUCUUGACAUCCAGAGAACUUAGCAGAGAUGCUUUGGUGCCUUCGGGAACUCUGAGACAGGUGCUGCAUGGCUGUCGUCAGCUCGUGUUGUGAAAUGUUGGGUUAAGUCCCGCAACGAGCGCAACCCUUAUCCUUUGUUGCCAGCGGUUAGGCCGGGAACUCAAAGGAGACUGCCAGUGAUAAACUGGAGGAAGGUGGGG